rnacentral:rRNA from 1 species
UACGGAGGGUGCGAGCGUUGUCCGGAAUCACUGGGCGUAAAGGGCGCGUAGGCGGCCUGGCAAGUCGGUGGUGAAAGCCCGAGGCUCAACUUCGGGUCGGCCACUGAUACUGCUGGGCUUGAGUCGACUAGAGGCAGAUGGAAUUCCGGGUGUAGCGGUGGAAUGCGUAGAUAUCGGGAGGAACACCUAUGGCGAAAGCAGGCUUCUGGGCCAUCUCUGACGCUGAGCUGCGAAAGCUAGGGGAGCAAACAGG